rnacentral:lncRNA from 1 species
CUCUCUUCCACUAUUUGCAGAUUGUGCAUGGCAGCAACAGGGCUGUAAUCCAACCAAAGGGAGGCCUUCGGAGCGAGAAACACAAUUUGGGACUUCAAUAAGAGGAGAGCUUUGCGGUGUUUGGUUUUUGAAGUAAUAUUAAGUGCUGUUAGGUCGUGGUCCAUGAUUUAGAUGGUUUCUUUGAGGAAUGUUGACAGUGUUCUCAUCCAGCCUAUCUAAUCGUGAGUACUUCAUAGGAAAAACUGUUUUGUUGCUUUAUUUUUCCUACCCCCAGAAGGCUGCUUUUUCAUUUCUUUUUUCCUCUUAUGGAACAUUUCCAGGUUUGAAAGUCGGCCUUGUGAAUGUUGUCUUUCAGAAAGCAUUGGGCUCUGUCAUGCUGGGCUUUGCUCAGAUGAGAGUUUGGGGUAAGAGAUGAGGAAGGAGGAGGACAACUGGAACGUAGGUACAAUGUUCUGGGUGUGAUGGCAACACGGAGUGUGGGAGGAGUCAGAUGGAAAGGAUCCGCUAAGUGGCAGGCUGGCCCGUGAGAUGGGGGGGAUCGGGCAGGAAAGGAUCUUAAAAGGACAGACGCAAGCAUGUCUGCUAACCUGGAUUUAAUCUGCUUUCGCAACUGUUCUUUUGGCUUUAUAGUAGCACAAGCAGCCGAAGAUCUCCUGUUGGAGUCAGUGCUUUCCCAAAGGGAUCCCAUCUUCCUGUCAUUCAGGCUUCCUCUGAGAGGCCCUGGCGUGCCCAACGUACUCACCUCUCUGAGCACUGGCACUGUGCAUGUUACUGAGGAUGAUUGUUCUUGGGAAGAAUCCAGUCCACAGU